CGUGCUUAACACAUGCAAGUCGAACGGUGAAGCCCAGCUUGCUGGGUGGAUCAGUGGCGAACGGGUGAGUAACACGUGAGCAACCUGCCCCUGACUCUGGGAUAAGCGCUGGAAACGGCGUCUAAUACUGGAUACGAGUAGCGACCGCAUGGUCAGCUACUGGAAAGAUUUAUUGGUUGGGGAUGGGCUCGCGGCCUAUCAGCUUGUUGGUGAGGUAAUGGCUCACCAAGGCGUCGACGGGUAGCCGGCCUGAGAGGGUGACCGGCCACACUGGGACUGAGACACGGCCCAGACUCCUACGGGAGGCAGCAGUGGGGAAUAUUGCACAAUGGGCGCAAGCCUGAUGCAGCAACGCCGCGUGAGGGAUGACGGCCUUCGGGUUGUAAACCUCUUUUAGCAGGGAAGAAGCGAAAGUGACGGUACCUGCAGAAAAAGCGCCGGCUAACUACGUGCCAGCAGCCGCGGUAAUACGUAGGGCGCAAGCGUUAUCCGGAAUUAUUGGGCGUAAAGAGCUCGUAGGCGGUUUGUCGCGUCUGCUGUGAAAUCCGGAGGCUCAACCUCCGGCCUGCAGUGGGUACGGGCAGACUAGAGUGCGGUAGGGGAGAUUGGAAUUCCUGGUGUAGCGGUGGAAUGCGCAGAUAUCAGGAGGAACACCGAUGGCGAAGGCAGAUCUCUGGGCCGUAACUGACGCUGAGGAGCGAAAGGGUGGGGAGCAAACAGGCUUAGAUACCCUGGUAGUCCACCCCGUAAACGUUGGGAACUAGUUGUG
rnacentral:rRNA from 1 species